AUCGCUUCUCGGCCUUUUGGCUAAGAUCAAGUGUAGUAUCUGUUCUUAUCAGUUUAAAAACAUUUUUUAUGCCUGGUAUUUAAAACAAAACAACAACAAAAAAAAGGCCAGGCUGUGCUGAACCAAUUUGCACCCUAGGGACUCUGUCCUGAGGUUCCGUAAAGCCCUUUUGAUAGGUCUGUCC
rnacentral:snRNA from 1 species